GUGUAUUCAAAUUUGUUAUGUAGUUUCAAUAGUUUGAAUUGCUGGAAGCUAAUCUGAGUUUGUUUACUGUUGAAUUAGGGUUUGCUAUUGCUUUGAAGUUUUCGUUUUGGACAUAAUUAACAAAUGGACAAGUUGAAACUAUCUCAAUGGGGGGAACAAGACAGGUGGGGCUCAAAUGAGUCGACUUGUAAGCGAUAAGGUAAAGGAAAUGCUGCAAACUCCUACACCUGAAUCUAAGAUGGUUGACGAGGCCACAAUGGAAACGAUGAAUGAGCCGAACUGGAGUAUGAAUUUGAGGAUAUGUGCAAUGAUCAAUUGUGAACAGUUUAGUGGGACUGAGAUUGUUCGGGCUAUAAAAAAGAAGAUUUCAGGUAAGAAUUGGGUGAGCCAGAAGCUGAGUCUUGACUUGCUGGAGGCUUGUACUCUGAAUUGUGAGAAGGUGUUCUCGGAGGUGGCAUCAGAGAAGGUAUUGGAUGAGAUGGUUAAGAU
rnacentral:misc_RNA from 1 species